UCCUUUUCUUCUGCAGGUGAGUGUCCUCCUAAAGAGCCCCCAGUGGUGAAGCUCCUGAGCUACCCAACCCAAGAAGACCCUGAGAAGGUCCUGCUGGUGUGCCUCAUCGAGGGGCUGAAGGACAGCAACGCCCAGGUGGAGUGGCUGGUGAACCAGCAGGUCCAGCACCUGGAGGAGGACAACUACAGCUGCAGCGAGUGCUCCAACAAGAAGCCCACACAGUGGAGCCAGGUCAACGUCAGCCGGCAGAGCUGGGACCAGGGGGCCGAGUUCUCCUGCAGGGUGUCCCACGAGUCGCUCAAGGAGCCCAUCGUCAAGUCCAUCAGCACCUACUGCACAGGUUCCAAACCCGAGCUGGACGUCUCCAUCCUCCCCCCGUCCUUGGAGGACCUCUUCCUCAGCCAGAACGCCAGCAUCACCUGCGUGGUGACCAACGCCCCCAAAGACCUGAAGUUCUCCUGGGCCCGGAGCACCGGGACCUCCUUGGACGUGUCCACCGGGGAGCCCGAGAAGCAGGAAAACGGCCUCUACCGCCUCACCAGCGUCCUGAAGGUCUGCGCCGAGGAGUGGAACAGCGGGGAGACCUUCUCCUGCACCGUGUCCGGCCCGGAGCUCCAAGAAACCAUCACGAAGUCGGUGAAGAAAGACCUAGGUAGGAAGCCACCGGUCCUCUGCUGCCCCACUC